CGCUGUGUGCUGGGUGGGUAGAGAGCCCUCUGCACUGAGCCCAGCAGGCCAGCCGCCCCAGGUCCCACUACUGCAGCCCCCGACUCAUUCUCCCUGACCUGAUGCAGACCCCCCAGGGGCCCAGGGGUCCAGCUCUGUCCUCCCGUCCCUUCCCCCACCCCCUGCCCACCCUGCACAUGCCUCCUGCUCUCCAGCCUUUGCCUCAACCCCUUCCUCCCUCUCCAUGCUGUCUCCUCAUUUCACAAUUCUGGACUGAAGACCCCGCCCAAAUGCCAGCUGAUUCAGGCAGGCAGGAUAUUAAUGAGCACCUAGUACCUGCCAGGAGCUGUCAACCUCAGGGGGCAGGCAGCAAAAAAAGCAGAGAAGCAGAGCAAGACCCUCCCCACCUCCACCCACCGCACUCAGCGAGGCUGAGCAGAGAAGCAAAGCAAGCCCCUCAGCACACCAAAUGUGUGAAGACUCUGGUAGCGACAUCUCGGGGACUGAGCAUCUUCUAUUGAUUGGAAAAACACACACAGCACCAGUGAGUUUGCAGAGCACACGCCGCAUUUUUCAGGGUUUGGGCAGGCAGAAAGCCAGCCGUGAGGCCUCAGCGCCCCCUGGGAGCCAGAGCCGGGAGUGCGCCCUGACGGAGCAGAAGGAGCCCAGCGGGCAGCCAGGAGGGAGGGAAGCCAAGCUGGGUACCCUCGAGGCAGGCAGCCCUGCGGGAGGCCGCAGCAGAGCCACGCACGCCCAGCCCCACCCGUCCCUCCCUGCAUGGCUUUGGGCAAACCACAUCACCUCCCUGGUGUCCAGCUUCGCUUCCCUGCCAUAAACUUGGGGUAUGGCCUGUGUGCAUCCCAGGGGCCUUUGGAAUGGGCUGUGUGGCCUCCUGCAAGCCACAAACCUCUCAGUGCCUCACAUUCUUGGCAGGGACCGUUGCCCACCCGCGGAGCUGCUCACAGAGCCACAGCGAAUAAUGAGCAGCCAACUGCCAAGCACAGGCCUCUGAAUUUGAUCAAUAGACGCAGCCCAGCCUUGGGGACCCCUCUGGGUUCCACCAGCAGGCAGAAAAGACACAGGAACAAAGACCAAGCAUGACUUGGAGUCUAACCAUAGAGGACAGAUGGGGGUCCCUGGCAGGAGCCUGAGCUGCAGGAACCGUGGUCCUCAGCUGUGAGUCCCUGCCCUCCUUCCCCUGGAUGGGCCUCUCUGCUGCCCAGGACAGCUUGCCAGCUGCCUGCUCCAGAAGCCUCCUCACCCCAUUGUGAGUCCUUCAUUAGGCUGACUAGAGGAAUAUCACCGUGUGCAGGGAAAGGAGCAGCCAGAGCCCAGGUGUGAGAAGCCCAAGGCCAGAGCUCCUCAUCCACCACUGGUGUUGGCGGGAGAGGGGCCCUGAGGUUGGCCCAUCCCUGGGGAGGGAGAGGGGUCCUGAGGUUGGCCCAUCCCUGGGGAGGGAGAGGGGUCCUGAGGUUGGCCCAUCCCUGGGGAGGGAGAGGGGUCCUGAGGUUGGCCCAUCCC
rnacentral:lncRNA from 13 species